rnacentral:rRNA from 1 species
UACGUAGGGGGCAAGCGUUGUUCGGAAUCAUUGGGCGUAAAGGGCGCGUAGGUGGUUCUGUGUGUCUACCGUGAAAGCGUACGGCUCAACCGUAUUUUGUCGGUAGAAACUGCAGGACUUGAGGCUGGGAGGGGCUGGUGGAAUUCCCUGUGUAGCGGUGAAAUGCGUAGAGAUGGGGGAGAACACUCGUGGCGAAGGCGGCCAGCUAGACCAGUUCUGACACUGAGGCGCGACAGCGUGGGGAGCAAACAGG